rnacentral:pre_miRNA from 1 species
AGUGGAAUAGCUGGGUCAUAUGGUGGUUCCAUUAUUUCUUUUUUUGAGGAAUCUCCAUACUGCUUUCCAGAGUGGUUGUACUAAUUUGCAUUCUUACCAACAAU